UACUUUUCAGGGAUUAACUAAAUACUUUUUAAGACUAUCGAAAACUCCGUUCAUGGGAUUCUUCCAGUUGCGCUCUGUAGCUCAUAUCAGUUAUAAAUAUUUAUUGAAUCAGUAAACAUAAUUUGUCUUUAAGCUAUGACUAAAGAGAACUGGUUUCUUAUGAAGUCUGCUAUCGCAAUAGCAGAAAAAGUGCAAUUAUAUAGUAUCGGCAAGUGGAACAUUCCAUACAUUUUGGGGUUGUUGGAACGAUGCCUUUCUGGACUACAAAUUGCAUAUUAGAAAUGUAUGUACAUAUAUAGUUGAAAUAACAGUGCGAAGAGAAUGGCUAAGCCGGCAGAGGACAGAAGAGCGGCCGAACACAACAAUGUCUGUUGCAACAACAGCAAUGAGAAUGUUUACCGAGUCGUCAUUUCCAACGCUUCGUAGGUACACAUGGCGCAUUAAUAUGUUCGAGAGCGCAUGUACAAAUCUACCGGCAACCGUCUAUGUUAGUCUACAUGUGUGCCUGAGUGUUAGCACAAUGAAACUGGGUACAGUUGCCGACAAAACACAUUCACACAGCAGACUCAACCACUACUAUUUUUCCAGACCGGUCGGUCGUCAACUUUUAAUUCUGAGCCUGCAGAGCGUAGCGAAUACAAAUGGAGUUUCGCUCAAACAAAGUGUUGCCAUCGGCGUAAUUCUCAACCCCAACCAAAGAACAACUGUCAUGGUUUAUACUAUCAAUUGCCGGCCGUGUUCGCUGCACUUCCAGCUGCCUUUGAACGAUUAGCUGCUACCUUGUUCGUGUUUUGAAAAUGUCUAGUCAAAUCGCCGUGUUUGUUACUUGUUCGAAAGUUGUCGGUCUCUUUGGAAUCCUUUUCGGUUUUUAAUCGAAAAUGUGUAGCCUGUUUCCUGUGUUGCAGCUGCUCUUUUAUACUCACAAAUGAAUACAUUUACAUAUUCAUAUGUACAUAUAUGAGCUACAUGAACACACACAUCCGUACGUAUAGAGAAUUUGUGUGAUAUGUAUAACCAACCGCCCUAAUGUAAUUUUUUUGGCGCGCAGGACAAUUAAAAUGGGAGUAAAAUUACAGUCUCUUAUCAAUGCCAUAUGCCAACAAGUAGUAUGAAUACAGAGCGAAAUACGUACAUACUUAUGUACAUAUGCACAAGUAUAUAGCCGUACGCAUGUUAACUAAAAAUAACACUGUGACCUUCCAGAAUGCCAUACAAAAUGCUUUGUCUGGAUGUUAACUCGAUUACUCCCACUUCUUUCAGGGUCGUUGGACGAGGAGGCAUAUAAAGAGUUCGAAUGCAUAUAACUAUAUAAAUGGUAUACAUACAUAUUUGUAUGUAGAAAAAUCGAUAACAUUCAUUUUGAACGAUACAGAAAUGAUAAGUUUCAUAUUUCAACAGGAUACCAUAAGUGCCAGCAGGAGCGUGCAUGUGAACUUUCAGACCGAUAUACAUACAUACAUUCAAAUGUGUGUAUGUAUACUUAAAAUGUGCGUAGGAUAUAUUAGUAGAACUUCAUUCAAAUUUGCUCAAUGUAAAAAAUAAUUUAUUUGUAAAAAUAUUUUUCGAACUUCAUAUUGUGAAAGUAUUUACAUUAAAAUACUGUGUUUAUUUACAAAGCCAUAAAUUUUUUUUGAUAAAGGCGAACAAUUUUUAUUUAUGUACUGUCCUUGUUAAAUUAAAUUCUAUUCUAAUUUCACUUUUUCCGCAAGGUCAGUACACAAUGCAAUUUUGAAAAAUGUUUAAAGUACAUAUUUCUUCAAUUUACAUAAUUUUCUAUUUUGGACAUUGCGAAAUAAUUGUUUGAAACUUUCUCCAAAAUCUAUAUAAUGUAUUAUAUAAGAUUAUAAUAGACACAAGGUCAAGCACAUGUGUUCUAGACAGCCUAAUCAAUUGAGUGUUUGUGAUUUAUGGUAGCGAUUUUCCAAACCUUUGUUGAAGUCUUUCACACGCUGCAAAUUUUCCAACAACCCGUAAACAUGACCCUGUAGCCUUCUUAUCCAGGUAGAAAAUUUUAAAGAAACAAUCACCUCUAAGAAGAUCCUUAAAAUACAGUAGUUAGGACAUUAUCAUUCGCAUCUUUGAAUGAGCACACAUAUUUCUAUACAUACAUACAUAUGUGUUGCUAUAUAGAAUUACUAGCCUAUACCAGCUGUCGCAAAAGCAAAAAACAAAAAAAAACUAAAAUUUACCGAAUGCCAACAAUAGUAUGAGGGAAGCAAAAUGCAAUUUUACACAGUUUUGUAGAACAACCCCCAAGAUGUAAAACUUGGCAAAUACAGGAUCUUAAAGAAUGUGGCCCACAUUAAAAUUGAAAUCUGUAAUUGUGACACAAGCAAUCAAAUAUGCAGAGCACAAAAAGGUUAAUGUCUCUGCUAUUAUUAUGUACUUAUGUAUGUAUGUAUAUCCUACAUUAUGUAAUAAUUUAAUUUCUUAAUGGGCGUAAAACUGUUAUUUCCGGAAUAGUCUCAGUAAUCGAUUCCAUUUUGGACUAUAUACAUGCAUACAUAUUUAUAUUGUACAUUCACACCAAUUGUAGGUAUGAAGGUGUAUAUAAAGGAUAAUUUUAGAGGGAAAUUAUUUUAAUAUUCCCAUAUCUACAUCAGGACUACUAGUUAUGGAUUUAUAAUAUACAAAUGUAAGUAUGUGCAUCGUAAAAUACUUCUAAAUGAUCCAAAUGCUUCAGAAACAAGAAAUAAUAUAAACUUCGGUUGCACCGAAGCUAUAACACCCUAUACAAACACAAAAGAUUCCAUA